UUUGUAUUGUCCAUUCUGUAGUUUAUUAAUUUUUUCCUUCUUUAGACAGUUACAAAAGAUGGUGUUGCGCUAUUUUUCUAUUAGUACCAAAAGUGUUCCGCCGCUACAAAAAGGUUGAGAACUACUGAUGUAGAACAAACUGUUGCACAGUGCAACGCGAAACGAAUGAAGUAAAUUUUUCUGUCAUCGUUGCAUCGCUCCACUUUACUUCGCGUCGCGUUGAGUGUGUCACGAUCUUUAUUUUCCUGUUUAGUUUAAAAGUAAAACAUUUAGAAAAACUUUAAUGAAAAAUUGUCACAUAACACUAAUCGAAUAACUGCAACUAAUAUAGCUCGAAAACUAAUUUUAGAUACACAUAUGAAAAUUUAGAGAAUUGCAAAACUUGAUGCUGAAUCUUAAGGAAAAAAACUCGAACUUAAUCCGAUUCUUAGUUAUAUUUCUACAGAAAUUGCGUGACUCAUUAAAACAAUUUUUAUGCGGCCACAGUAACAUUUUAUUCAUAUAUAUAUAUAUCCUAAGAGCUUUUCUGAUGCUGAAAUCUCGUAGUAUAAGUGAAAAUUCAUGUUCUUGACAAAAAAAUUUCUCAUUAUCACAAAAAUUUGCAUAUUGUUUAUAAUAAAGAUAUCUAUCGCAAAAGGAAAAGUUCCCUUUCUGGAAAAUAUCUUUGGAAAAUUUGAAACAAAAAUAUCUUUUCCUGAGUGGCGUAACAAGUGGGUGGAGGGAGCAGACCACCCCAGGCCGUUGAUCAGGGGGCCUCUGAAGAACCUUAAGUUAAUGUAUAUAUAUGUAGGAAUAUAAAAAAAGAGACUUUGUGUUCUGGGAGGAUGAUUACCUAUAAAUGUGCCGUGU
rnacentral:lncRNA from 1 species